GACGAACGCUGGCGGCGUGCCUAAUACAUGCAAGUAGGACGCAGUUGCGAACGGGUGAGUAACGCGUCGGUAACUGCCUAUUAGAGGGGGAUAACUAUUGGAAACGAUAGCUAAUACCGCAUACUAGUAGAUGGACCUGCGUUGUAUUAGGUAGUAGGUAGGGUAAUGGCCUACCUAGGCGACGAUACAUAGCCGACCUGGGAGGGUGGACGGCCAACCUGGGACUGGGACCAGGGCCAGAAUCCUGAGGGAGGCAACAGGAGGGAAUCUUCGGCAAAUGGGGGAACGCUGGCCGAGCAACGCCGGGGGGGUGAAGAAGGUUUUCGGAUCGUUAAGCUCUGUUGUUAAGGAAGCGGUACUUAACCAGAAAGGGACGGCUAACUACGUGCCAGCAGCCGCGGUAAUUC
rnacentral:rRNA from 1 species